rnacentral:misc_RNA from 1 species
GAUGAAGAACGCAGCGAAAUGCGAUAAGUAAUGUGAAUUGCAGAAUUCAGUGAAUCAUCGAAUCUUUGAACGCACCUUGCACCCUUUGGUAUUCCGAAGGGUAUGCUCGUUUGAGUGUCAUUGUACUCUCACACUUCUAAUUCCUUUCGGGAUUGGGAGCGGUGGACUUGGGUGUUGCUGCUUUAGUUGUGGCUCACCUCAAAUAAGUUAGUGCAACUCUUGGUUGGACAUAGUACGGCGUGAUAAGUGUCUUCGCCGGCGCCUCUGUAAGGAGGGUGGCCGAUCGGGAGCUCUGUGCUUCAAACCGUCUUCGGACAAUCUUUGACAACUUGACCUCAAAUCGAGUAGGACUACCCGCUGAACUUAAGCAUAUCAAUAAGCGGAGUA